UUUGAACCUGCUUUGAUUCCAGGGGUCACCUGCUCGAUUCACAGAUUACUUUUUGUUUUACUUUGUUGUGCUUUGUUCCGUCUUGUUUAUAAUUGCUCAAAGACACGCAGCUCAAUUUGAUCUGUCGCGGUCUCGGGGAAUUUUCCCUCUAACAGAUUGUCAAAGAGCUCACUGAUGGUUGAAAUCAGACGAGGUCAAGUACAAAAGUAUCCUGUACUCCGGAACAUUUUUUUAGAUGCUAAGUGUCUCAGUUAGGCCUCCAGCAAGAGUGCUCAAGAAAUUCCAGCCCAGGCUGUGAGAAGUGACGUUCAUUUUAUAUGCAUGUUUCCCAUCGUUUUUUGUGGAUACCACACUGCGUUUUAUCGGCUUCCUUCCAUGGAACAAAAGGCUCUCUGAAAGGUGCACAGAUGAGAAACUGGAGCUUCAGGCAGAUUACAUGGCCUAAAUCCCUCUGGAAUUAGCACUGUGCUCUGAACUACCUGCAAACCAGGAAGCUGAUACAGAAACACAGUUGAAGUCUUCAGAGUGCAUCUGCAGUGACCAAUCUCAGCUCAUGCAAGGGGGUACUACUAGACUGCACAUAUAUCUUAAUGGACAAAAAUUAUCUCCAUUAGAAAUGUGGCUGCACUGGAAUAAUUUGUGAGGCAUUGGAGUGGUGUGUCAAUUGGGGAAAAAUGCUAUUUUUCGUUAAGUUCAAGGAUUUGAUAACAGCAUGAAGGUUGCAAAUCAGCAAAUAACAGAAAACGAAGGCACCUUAUGCUUUGAUUUUGUGGACAACACAGAUGUACGAAGGGGGAGGAAGUGCAUCAAGAGGGUGACAGAGGUGAGGGAUGGGAGGUGUGAUGAGGAAGAAAGAGAGAAAGGGGAGGGGGGAGAAAGAGAGAAUAGGAAUCAUAGAGAUAGAGUGAGCGGCAGGCCUUGUAUUAGGCCAGAUAUUUCCUUAUCUCUUCAUUCUCCCAACUUGACAUGUAACUGUCAGUAUUUCCAUUGUAUCCCUGUUUGCCAGGUUCUCCACAUCACUUAGAAUGACCUGGUCCUACACAGUCUAGUUCCUGCUCCCUCUCUGACAUGCAUCCUAGCAUACCAAAUCCUUUCUUCUGCCUUGAACUUGCCACUUCAGUUCUGUUCUCUCCACUCCAAAUGUUCUUUCUCUCCCUACAGAUGUCCAUGUACCUUGUUUCUUUCCCUCCCCCACCUGGUCUCUAUAGAAAUAGUACUUCCUCAGAGACUCUAACUUCCUUAACAGCACACUUCCCCACUCAGUUAUCUGUCUCCUUGCUCUGCUGUGUUUCCCUUUGAGAGACUUAUAACUAACUAACUUGCUUUCUUUCUAUUUAUUUGUUGUCUGUCUCUUCACUUCUUACCUGAAGUAUAAACUCCAGAGACGUGUGACUUGAUUUGUCUUAUUAUAAUAUCCAAGAAGUCUAAUAGUGUCCUACACAUAAUAAAUGCUCAAUUAAAAACAUGUAUUUAUUCCUGAUUCAGACUGAGCCUAAAAUUCUUUCUGAUUGUGCCUUUGCUGAUAUGCAGUCAUCUA
rnacentral:lncRNA from 1 species